AAUAAAUAAUUUAAUUAAAAAAUAAUGCGGAUUCGGAUAUCCAGUUUUUUGGAUGCAUUUGCAUCUGGUUACAGAUCCGGAUCCGCAUUUUUUAAUAUACGGAUCUAGAUUUUUCCAAAUCCGGAUCAGUUUUGCCAUUCCUAAUUCAAGUUUCUAGCUACUGAGCUUUUCUACUGUCAUCCCCUCCUAUGGCCAUGCUUAUUUGACUCAGUUAAGCUUCUAGCUAUUGAACUCUCUUGCUGUUGUGCCCUCCCGUAGCUGUACUUAUUUCACUUAUUUUGGCUUCCAACUACUAACCUCUCCAAUUGUGGUGCUCCCCUGCAGUUUAACUUAUUUAACUAAAAUUAUAUUUUCGCUUUUUGACCUUCCAUUUCUUGUUACAAUUUAUCAAUGAUGAAAAAUAAAAAAUGAGGUGAAGAGGUAACAGCCACUCAAAUACGUUGGUAGAAUAUUUUAACUCCUGGAGUGCUAUACUUAUAAAAUUGAGAGACUUGAUAAUAUACAAUAUACAUAUUGCAAAAAUGAUAUCGUGCGUGUUGCAUCAUUAUUUUUUUAAAUUUAUCAUUUUACUAUCAUACUGUGAUAUAUGAGGAUUAUAUUUAGGAUAUAAAGUUUGCCUCCUAAAAUUUUGUUAGUGCAGUAUUACUAUUUUUAUUUAACUAAGACAAUUUUUUUUUUUCAUCUAUUUCAUUAAGUUGAAGAAGCACAAAACUUCUAAAAUUUUGGGAACGAUAACAGAUCCGAGGAUCGUAUGCAAUUUAGAUUUCGAUUUCAUAAAGUCACUUGUAACAGACUACUAGUUGUUCUAUUUGUCGUUUAUAGCAUUCAAUGGAAAUGAUUAUCAAUAGAAAUUUGGUUAUCUCGAUAAAAUAAAAUUUGGUUAGAUUUGCAAAUUAAAUAUCAAAUGCACUUAGGGCUAGUUUGGUAAUAAUUUAACUUUUAAAAUAACUAUUAUUAACCAUGAUUAUAAUCAGUUAUAGUUUGGUAAUUAUGUAACUUUUAAAAUACCUGUUAUUAGCCAUGAUUAUAAUCAGUUAAAACGUUUGGUA
rnacentral:lncRNA from 1 species